GACGUAGGGCGCGAGCGUUGUCCGGAUUUAUUGGGCGUAAAGAGCUCGUAGGCGGCUCAUUGCGUCAACCGUGAAAACCAGCAGCUCAACUGUUGGCUUGCGGUUGAUACGGGUGGGCUGGAGUUCGGUAGGGGAGACUGGAAUUCCUGGUGUAGCGGUGAAAUACGCAGAUAUCAGGAGGAACACCGGUGGCGAAGGCGGGUCUCUGGGCCGAUACUGACGCUGAGGAGCGAAAGCGUGGGGAGCGAACAGG
rnacentral:rRNA from 1 species